ACGGUACUUCCUCUGUCCGAAAAAAUUUGUCCCUCAAAUGGAUGUAUCUAGCACCAAAUUAGUGCUAGAUACAUUCAUUUGAGGGACAAGCUUUUUCAAAUGGAGGGAGUAGGUC
rfam:Triticum urartu cultivar G1812 contig6231, whole genome shotgun sequence.